AGAGAGAGAGAGAAUGUCGACUGAUUCUCACUGAGAAAAAGCAAUAGCUCCAAGAAAGGCGGCGGCGUCCAGCCUCUCAGUGCCAUAGCUGAGCCGAGCCAGCUUUACGCACACACGAGCGCAUCUGUUCGCCAUCAGCACUUUCUACUAAACUCAGUCAGUUGCGACCGUGAGUCAACAGGAGUGGGAAGUGGGACAGGGCUUUUUAAGAGUACUUCUUGAAAACCCAGCUGCAGGAUGCUGUGAUUUUAUAUGGUGACCUAUAUGUGUUGUUUAUGCGCGUGUAUGGAUGGGCCAGAUGCAUAGAGAUUUGUGAUCCCGGGAAACAAACGAGGAGAAAAGCUUUUCUCCUCUGUCUGUCCGUAGAAGUUUGGUUUACCACUACUGUUCCGUCUGGAUGUGAGCCGCAACUUUGCUUUGCUUGGAAAACGUAGGCUUCUCUGCUGGUUUGAAAGCGCUGUUCCUGUUCGUGAGUUCUGGGAUCAAUUUGGCUCGCGUAUUAUUAUUGCUAAAAAAAAAAUCUUCUACUGCAUCCUAUUUGCGUCAUGACUUCUAGCUAUGCACAUGGAAUGGACAGGCAAGCAACGAUAUCAAAUCGUUUGGAGAGCUCGAUUACAUCCAAUCUGGAAAACCUUCAAGCCAAAAAGAACUUCUCCGUGAGCCACCUGUUGGACCUGGAGGAGGCCGGAGAAAGGGUUGGGACCCAGGCGGACGAGAGUGUCGGUGAGGCGGGGAGGAAUAUGCUGGAGUCCCCUGGGCUGACCAGUGGGAGCGACACCACUCAGCAGGAGAAUGAGCAGUUGAAUGCGGAGGAGAAGAAAAAGAGGAAACAGAGAAGGAACAGAACUACAUUCAACAGCAGCCAGUUGCAGGCUCUGGAGAGGGUGUUUGAGAGGACACACUACCCUGACGCCUUCGUCAGAGAGGACCUGGCACGCAGGGUCAACCUCACCGAGGCACGGGUGCAGGUGUGGUUUCAGAAUAGGAGGGCCAAGUUCCGUCGGAAUGAGCGCGCCAUGUUGGCCAGCAAGAACGCCUCGCUCCUCAAGUCCUACUCCGGGGACGUCACGGCCAUAGAGCAGCCCAUCGUACCCCGCCCUGCCCCCCGCCCAAACGAUUACCUGUCAUGGGGUAGUGCCUCUCCUUACAGAAGGGAUGGGGCGAGAUCCAAUGACCCUCGUGAUGAGGUGAUAAUCUGAAAACAAACUGUAUUAAAUCCACUGUUGACCCUUGCGACCUUCUCUGCAAUACAAAACCAAUACCAUGGCAACCUACCCCCCCACAUGUUCCAACCCCAAUACAUCCCAGGGAAUGAACAUGGCUAACAGCAUCGCCAACCUGCGGCUCAAAGCCAAGGAGUACAGCUUGAACCAGGUGCCCACGGUUAACUGAGGAGAGAGGGGGGAGAGAGUGCUUCACGGUGGGGCUGGGGGCAGGAGCAGGGACUCUCUCUCUCUCACGUCUGUCCCACACAGAAAGACAGUCAGACCCCAGCCUGACCCCCACAGGGAUGAUCAAGAUCUGACCACCCUCCAUGGAAUUUUAGCUUGAAGUCUCCUCUCGCUCCAGAGCGUCGUCGCUAUAGUGAUGGACGUGCUUCCUAUACUGUCCUCAUACCUGAAGCAUCAGAUGAGAAAGCAAGUGACGCGGGGGAAAUCUGAGAGGCUGUUUCUGUGAGCUGCCUCUCUCCUGUCCUGAGCAUCGCUGAAAUGUCGCUGUCUGUACCUUCCAAUGAUACCAAAGACAUCGAGACUGAGACUGGAUGCUUCAGUAGUUUCUAUUAUUUCUUUCAAUUUGGUGUUGACUGAAUGAAAGGGUCAUUUCCAAAGAUAUCAAUGGAGAGGUGUUCUCUCAGACCCUGACAAAAUAAAUCGGAUUGUCAGACUGUCAGUGUCCGUCUUAUAGUUUGACUCACGUUCAAGACCACAGUGCCUUGCUGGGGGUGAGGAGGAGACACCAGUAUGGGCUACUUUUCAAAUGGAAUGUCUUUUUAUAAUAGAGCUGAUCAAUAGGAUUAUAACACCAGGGAUGGGAUGAGCAAAUUAACGCUCAGCAACAACAAACAACAACAAGGACUUAUCCAUGCAAAUUGGGAGGUCGCAAACAUUUAUGCAUUUAAAGAAUUUUAGUUUUCACAUACUGUAUCUUUCUAUUUUAUGCCACUGACAAGCAAACUUUUUUUUCCCGACGCAUUCCGAUUCAUGUAAUGGUACACCAUACCGGAAAGGCUAAUGUAACCUAUUUCUGAAUCCAAGACUGUAGUUUCUCUUAAUCUUGGUAUGAUAUCCUUUAUUUGUAACAGAUAAUCAUGUAUAUGAAUAAAAUACACUUCAAGCAAAGUAAA